CAAUGUAAUAAUUACAACUUUCAACAACGGAUCUCUUGGUUCUGGCAUCGAUGAAGAACGCAGCGAAAUGCGAUACGUAGUGUGAAUUGCAGAAUUCAGUGAAUCAUCGAAUCUUUGAACGCACAUUGCGCCCUUUGGUAUUCCAAAGGGCAU
rnacentral:rRNA from 1 species